AUGGUCAAUUGUGUUAACGGUUCAGUCAGGUAUGACGAGAGUAAUGACCAGACGUCUGGUCAUUUAAAUUUACAGGUGAAUGUUUUGACACCAGUAGGUAAAUUAAAUAAGGCAAUACACAAAUGGAAGGAGACUGGUACAAGUGAGUACAUUUUAAAAGUAAUAGAGCAAGGCUAUGGUAUACCAUUUAAAACUCUGCCAGACAGUUGUGUUCUCAGAAAUAAUAAAUCAUCUUUAGAUAAUUCUGUUUUUGUAAAUGGUGAAAUUUCUAAAUUAUUAGAUAAGAAGUGUAUUUCAGAAGUACACGAAAUACCGUAUGUAGUAAAUCCGCUAACGGUAGCAUAUAACAGAUCAGCAAAACCUAGAUUGGUUCUAGAUUGCAGACAUAUCAAUGAGUGCAUACAUCAGUUUAAAUUUAAGUUUGAAGAUGGGUCAGUUGCCAAGCAACUAUUUAAUAAAGGAAAUUAUCUGUUUCGCUUUGAUUUAAAAAGUGCUUAUCAUCACAUAGAAAUAUUACCAGACCACAGAAAGUAUUUAGGUUUUAGUUGGCAAUUUGAAGGGACAACCAGAUAUUAUGUAUUUAAUGUUCUUCCUUUUGGAAUUGCUAGCGCUGGUCAUAUAUUUACCAAACUUACAAAAGAAGUUGUUAAGUACUGGAGGAGUCAAGGUUUGAGAAUCAUAAUGUACUUAGAUGAUGGUUUGGGCGGAGACAGUAAUUUCGAUUGCGCACACCGUGUUAGCACUUUUGUAAGAGAAAGUUUGACAGAGUUUGGUUUUUUAAUAGCAGAAGAGAAAUGUAUAUGGUUGCCUGUACAGAAUAUUACUUGGAUAGGGUUAUUUUGGGAAAUGCAAUUUGGAAAAUUGAGUAUUACCGAGGAGAGAGUCGAAAGACUUCUUUCGGUUAUUGACAAAACAUUGAAAAGUGUAGGUAAAGGCAAGCUUUUGUAUAAUGCUAGAUUUGUGGCUGGUAUUGUUGGACAGAUAAUAUCAAUGAUGUCUGUAAUGGGAAACGUUUGUAGACUUAGAACUCGAGAAUUGUACAAUUGUCUUAUAAUGAGAGCAAGUUGGAACUCGCUUGUAGUAUUGAAUUCUGUAGCUAUUGAAGAGCUAUAUUUUUGGUUUGAGAACUUAAGAAAGUUCAAUAGAAAGGGUUUAAAUCUGCAUGAGUCAGAUUUUUGUGAUUUUGUGGCGUAUACUGACGCAUCAGAUGUCGGCUUUGGGGGAUAUGUAGUCCCAGCUGAUACAGAGUCUGUCUGUGACUCUGAUUGUAUUAUGAAAAUGACUGAUUGUGGUCUAGAAGUUCCUUAUAACAGUUUGAUAACUGUGACUAGUAACUGGUCGGUAUCUGAAAGUGUUAAAAGCUCUACAUGGAGAGAGCUUGAAGCAGUAAGUAGAGUAGUUAAAAGUUCUGUUACAAUGCUGAAAAAUCAUACAGUUCAACUGAAUACUGAUAAUAAAAACGUUACAAGCAUAAUUAAGAACGGUAGUAGAAAGUUAGAUCUUCAAGAGAUUGCUUGCGAUUUAAAUGAAUUGUGCACAGAAAACAAUAUAAGUAUUAAGACACAAUGGGUUCCUCGGGAACAAAACACAAUAGCUGAUAAUUUAAGUAGAUAUUCAGAUUGUGAUGAUUGGGGAAUUCAUUUUGAGGUGUUUGACAUGCUUGAUGAGCUUUGGGGAAAACAUUCUAUAGAUAGAUUUGCUACUGAUUAUAACAGUAAAUGUUUUAGGUUUAAUUCAAAAUGUUGGUGCAAAGGUACUGAAGCUAUUGACGCUUUCACGCAAAAUUGGCAAGGAGAAAAUAACUGGUUGGCGCCACCGCCAAAUUUGAUAGCCAAGGUCAUUAGAAAAGUAUGCAACGAUAGCGCGGACAGUACUCUUGUUGUUCCAUUUUGGAAAUCAGCUCCAUUCUGGGCAUUAUUACACAAUUCGAAUUGCACUUUUGUUGAGAGUAAAAUGCGGCUUACAAAUAAAAAUUUAAUUGUAAGAGGUAGAGGUAAUAAUGGUAUUUUUGGAGUAAAUCCUUUGAAUUUUGCAAUGAUUGCUUUUAAAAUCAGAUUUUGAUUGUAGUAUUUCUUUUGCACAGGAAUAAAGCAAGAACAGUUUGUACGUGACGCCGUGGUACAUAGUGGAAUUGAUGAAACUCACCCUUUGUACAGUUCGGUUGCCAGCUUAUCUACACAUUUAUUGGGAUCAAGAAGUGACAGUACUGUGAAAAAAUAUUACUAUGGUUUUUUAAAGUGGGAAAAAUUUGUUAGUAAACAUUGUUUAAUUUCAAUGCCUGCCUCGCCUAUACAUAUUGCUUUAUAUUUGUCUAAUUUGUUAGAUUCCGGAUCAACGUACAGUACGGUAUCAUCUGCUGUUUAUUCAAUUAAAUGGGCACAUGAAAUGUGUGGUCAAAUUGACCCUACAAAUAACUCUUUUGUUGAAAGUUUAGUUGAAUCAGCUAAAAGAACUGCUAAACCUGUUGUUAAUAAGAAAGACCCAGUCACUACUGAUAUCUUAAUUCGGUUAUGUUCUAUGUUUCAUUUUUCUACAGAUUUACUGGUAGUUAGGGAUCUUUUGAUGACUUUGCUAGGUUUCAGUGGUUUUUUUUACGUUUUAAUGAGUUAAGUCAGCUUAGAUGUAACGAUUUUUUUCGUAAAAGAAGAGCAUUUAGUUAUUAAGAUUAGGCGAAGUAAGACUGAUCAGUACAGAUCAGGUGAUGAAAUUUUAAUUUGUAAAGGUCAUACUUUGGCUUGUCCUUAUGCUAUGUUUUUUUAGAUAUGUCAGUUUAGCCGAAUUAGUUUUGGAUAGUGAUAUGUUUUUAUUUCGACCUUUGUACAGAAGUAAGAAAAAAUGUGCAUUAAUUAGUAUUAACAAACCUAUUAGUUACACUACUGCUAGGGAGUGUGUUAUUAAGAGAUUAAGACUAGUUGCACCUGAAUUGAAUCUUGGGUUGCAUUCUCUUAGGUCUGGUGGUGCCACUAUGGCGGCAAAUUCAGGUGUCAAUGAAAGGUGCUGGAAGCGCCAGGUGCUGAAAGGCCAUGGUAAGUGAAAAGUGAUUCAAGCAAAGACGGCUACGUAGCCGACUCUGUAGAAAGUAGGUUAGCCGUAUCUAAAACUUUAGGCUUGUAGUAUAUUUAUUUUCUUAUUUUUCUAUCUUUGUUGCUCUAUGCAGUACUCGAGCUAGUCAACAACAUAAGUUUGUGUUGUGUUUUUCUUUAAAUAGUUUAGAUGUAUUAAGUGGAAAGAAGACUAAAAAAUUCCCGAGGCACAUAAGUAUAACGGGAAUUGAUUGUCUUCUUGCGCAUGUGUAAUACAUGUACGUGUAGGCGUAGGAAUUUUUGGCGCCAAAAAAAUAGGUUGUAAAGUGACUGUUUUAUAUAGUUAAUUCUAGCCUGUACUUCGUACUGUGAACAUCGUAUUUUUAAGGGUUUUUUAAGGAAAAAAGAUUUGCAUAAUUUUGUAUUUGAUAAAUAUAUUGAUUUUUAUGUAGGUUGAUUGGCUAUACAAACGUAAUCGUAUUUAGACUUUUGUACCAAAAAUUUUCAUAGCCCUUGAGUCCUAAUGACUCGCUUUCUUUUCUAUUUCGAUAUUUACAAACAAAAUUAUGUUUUUCUUUUUCUCAUUUGAUAAGUGAGGUCCAACACUUAGAGUUUCGUUGGCAUGGACAAAAGGACACAGGUUUCCUAAAAGGGUUUUUCCUGGGCGGCCACGAAACAUUCAUUUAUUCAGUUAUUCUAAUACAAAAGGUCAACAUUGAUGAGUAUAUAUUUUUGUUGAACAAUGAUGUUAUUGUUUUCACAUUGUAUAGUGUAUAAUAUGUUUAUAUUGAUCAUUUGUCUUAUUAAAUCGGCAGCUCACAAUAUCAUGCAGUACUCGAGCUAGUCAACAACAUAAGUUUGUGUUGUGUUUUUCUUUAAAUAGUUUAGAUGUAUUAAGUGGAAAGAAGACGUUUUAUAUCGAAAACUAUCCAUUGAGUUAUAAAAAAACAUAUGCAUUAUUUUUUUUUAAUUUGAGGUUUCUUAUGACUUUGAAUGUUCAUUACGUAGAACCGUAUGCAAAUUGUUCGGAAAACUUUUCUAGCAGUUAGGGAACGACCAUUUGACUUCAAAAAGGGGAGGGGGGAAGAGGGGAACGAAUUUUUCCUUGAAAAAGAUUCGCAUCCUAUAUCUGAUAAAAAAAAAAAAAACAACAUUGCCUGAUUUAAGAACAAUUUAUCUGUUGUGUUCUUUAGAAACUUAAAUACUGGUAAAACUGUUUAUAAUGUAUAUUUUGAGGUGUGGUUUUCCUUCUUACAUAAUCAUUUAACAUUGAAGCCUCGGUCACACCUUACCGGAUAGCUCGAACGGACGACUAACGGAUGACUUUUUUUCAAUCCGUUCAUGUCCGUUAGACAUCCGUUCUUAUCCGUGAGACGUCCGUCCAUAUCCGUUGCAUGCCCGUUAAGCGUACGUUUUAUCCGUCGACGUCCGUUCUGUCCGGUGGAAAAUUUUGAGCAUGUUCAAAACUUUGAACGGACGUCCAACGAAUAAAAUGUCCGUUGAACGUCCGUUAGGCGUCCGUUUUGUACGGUACUCGUACGUUUCGUUUCCGUUUUGUAUCCGUUACGUGUCCUUUAUACAUCUGUUGGGGUCUGGAAGAUAAAUUCACCAACGGAUUUCUACCGGACGUUUAACGGAGAAAACGGAUGUUGAACGAAUGAGAAACAGACUUCUACGGGACGUAUAACGGAUAAAACGGAUGAUGAACGGAUCUGAAACGGAUAAAUGCCAACUGAAAAUUUCGCGUCAGAAAUGCCAAUUAUUGGUAUGUCAGAUGUCUUAAGGUUCAUGAAUUCUUAUUAUUCAUAUUAAUCGAUCUUAGAGUAAAGGCACGUCUUCACAAUCAAGCAGCUCUUAUUCAGGCCAGACACUGCCCUUUGGCGGUAUUUUGAAGAACAAACGAAAACCAGUUACACAGAAACAUUUUGAAUAUUUAUGCGAGUUACAUGUAUUAUUAUUGUCGCCUUUAAUUUUUCUGUAUAUUUUGUUCAUCCGUUUUAUGCGGUAUUCUUCCGUUGGAUGUACGUUCGACAUCCGUUCUGUUCGGUACGUUUCCGUUUCUCGUACGUUGCAUAUCCGGUGUGUGUCCCUUAUGCAUUCGUUACACGUCCGUUUUAUUCGGUCAGUACAUAAUCAGACUCCCAACGGAUAACAAUUUUGUCAACGGACAACUUUUAUUUUCAUCCGUUAGGCGUCCGUUCGUGUUAUCCGGUAAGGUGUGACCGAGGCUUCCUUAUUGUCAUAACAUACAUUUUUUUUUGUAACUAAGGAAAAUCGGCAUUAUGUUCCUAAAGGACGACCAUUGGGAAAGCGCAUACAUUGUUCUUGGUUUUAACAAAUACUGGUGUCUAAUAUUUGUUUUUAACUACGUUUAUUUGCAUUAAUUUCCACUUUGAAUUAAACAAAAUGUUUUAUUUAAGAAAUGUAUUUUGAAAAAGAGUAAAAUAUCUUUACCAUAUUAGAAAUUCAAAAUAAGCAAUUAAAAAAUGAACAAUUAUUUCUUAUUGAUUUGUUUCUAUUGAAAAUGAGAAAAUUUUUUAAUUAAACUCUUUUGAGAAAGUUUAAUGUUCAAUAGAAAAUAUUUUGAAAUGUAGUUUAGUUAUAUAAAAUGUUUAAGGUGAUAUUAAUAGUAUGUCCAGGGUUAAAUAUAACUGUUUUUGCUGUAUAAAUCAGAUAUCAUUUGUGAUCGAGAUGUUUCCUUAUAUGAUUUUAAAUUCUUUGGUUAUGCUGAGGAAGGAUGCCGACUGUCCUAUUUUUCACUGUUAUAGAUUGAUCCCAGUCAGGUUUGCAAUUUAAUAACAGUGCACCCACCCUUUUUCUUUUUAUGUUGAUCCUCUAAGAUUACUUUUUUUAUAAUUGAGUUGGCCAGUGCAUCAAUUCUUGUAUCCAAAACUUAUUCUCAGAUUAUUUAAUAUGCAUCGACAACAUGAAAGUGGAUUGCCAAAAAGUGACCAUGUAUGAUAAAGAUAUUGAAUUACUUAGAUUUUUAAUCAACUAAAUUAUAGCACAUGCUGUUAAAUAGAGAAUAUAAUAUGGCUUUUUCAAUAUCGCAUCCGUAUCAACCCGAGACACCAAUAUGAUCCCAAGAGCUCUGCUCGAGGGAUUAUAUUGGUUGAGGGUUGAUAUGGUGUGUGAUAUUGAAAAAACCAUAUCAUAUACACUUUAUGUACUAUAUAUACCAUGUUUAUUACGAGUUAACAUAUUUAAACAAACGAAUCCGAAGGAUGAGUUUGUUUAAAUAUGUUAAUGAGUAAGAAACAUGGUAUAUAAAAUUUGUAAUAUAAAUAAAAUGAUUGACAGCUUCAAGACCUUCAACUAAUAUUGGAAAUUGAUCACGUUACAGUUUUAUCCAAUGGAAUGGAAGCUCGCGCAAGUCACCUUUGCGCCUCGUGUAUGAUAUUCUGUGUAUUUCAUGUAAUAGAACCCCUGAAUUUGCAAAAAGGAAAGAAAAUGUUAGAUUUUCCCGAUUUUUAUUUAGUUUUGCGCCCCGUGUAUGGUUGUUUGCGCAAGUAACUUCCUAAUGUCAUAAGACUGAUGUAAACAAAAAUAUCGGAUUCCAGCGUCGGACAAGGAUUAAAUAAUUAUUCCAAUGAUGGUAAGAAUUGGUUUUUUUUUUUCAAGUAUCAUACAAAUAAAUCAUAUUUUACAGAAUUUUCAUCUCAUUGAAAAAUGCAUAUUUAUACAUUUCUAGUUUUCGUACAAACUGCUCUCUUCCGUUAUUUUAUCAAUUCGAUUAUUAGCUUAAUUAUUAAAACACAAUUUUAACGAUAAAACACUGUAUUUAAACAGUAGCGGAUCCAGGGAGCGUAGAUAGUGUACGUUCCCCUAAUUGAUCGCAAAAAAAAAUCAUGUUUUUUCAGAUAUUUGUAGCCGAUAUUUAUUCCUUUUUCUAUAGGUACCCCCUUUUUAAAAUAGAAAUUUAAUCGGAUCUUCGCAAAGGAAAUGAUAGUUUCACAUUUCAUUUUUUUCACAACUUAAAGAAGAAACAUUUAGUAAUUGUUUCCAAAAUUAGGGGAAUUCGUAACAAUCCUAUAUAGUUUGCAAAAGGUUUCUUAAGAUUUGGGUACACAUAAUUUAUUGCUUUUUUGUUAUGAAAUGAAAACAAAUGAAGAUCUUGACCUUUUAUUACGUUUUACAGUUUCUAAAUAUUUAAGAGGCGGAUACAUUUAAAAAAAAAAGGUGGAGUUUCAGCCAUGGAAUAACAUGAACAUGAAUAUGUUAUACCAUGGCUGAAGCUCCGCCUUUUCCCUUUGAAUUCUAGUUGAGUUGCAUAUUUAAUUAGCAAAGUAUGGUACAACAUUAAUUUGCAUGUAAUAUACCAUGGUUUUGCCUCACCACACUUUUUAAGCAAAUUAUUUCAUAAAAACAUCAAAGGAAAAAAACUAAUUUAUGUUACAAUAUAUACAUAUACAUCAAGUAGAUGUUUUCUAUGUAACACGACGUCAUACAGAUUAUCGGUUUGACAUGACGUCAUACAGAUUAGGGAUUUGAAAGCCUUUGCAACAGUGACUGCAAUCGAUGACGUGACGUCAUACACAUUAAAGGUGUGAUAAAGCUUUUGCAACCGUGCUGAUAUCGAUAUCAUCACGGGUGGCUGAUACAGCACGCUUGCCAAUGAUUGUAUUACACAUACAAUUUAUCUUUAUUUACUACUAAGUAUAUAAUAAAUUGCACUAUCUCUUUUCAUUUGCAGCAAGAUAAAAGAAAUGACUAAUAACCUAUGACACUUGUAAAUAUAAUUAUAUUUGUUCGAUUGUAUGGCUCUCAGAAUGCCUCAUUUAUUUAAGGGUCUAAAAGAAGUUGCAAAAUAGUAAACAUCAAAAUCUUUCUGCUUCAAAAAUGAAUAACCAAACUUUAUCUUAAAGUUUGUUUAUUUACUUUAAUUUUCCUAUGAUUUGUCUUCGUGCUUUUAAGUUUCGUUUGGUCGUCUGACUAUUGAUGUAACAAGGCAUUUAUACAAGGCAUUUAUAAAUACAUUCGGCCAUCUGGUUUUUAAUUUUUGACUUUCCUGGUGCAAUUUUAGCAAAAUGAUAUAUAUUUUUAUUAAAAACGAAUUUGACCAUUGAUUCUUCGUCAAUUGAAAAAAGAAGUUUCCAAUUUUGACCCUUUAUUAGCUUGUCGUCCCUUCAUCCCAUCAAAUGAAUUUGACCAAAAUUACUGAUUUUAACUGUUUAACUAAAUAAAACGUAUUGCUUUCAGAUCAUUCAAUAUAAUAAAGACAUGUAACCCAAGUUGUUUUUGUUAUUUUGUGUUAGUCUUUAUUGACACUUUUGAACUUAAUUAAUUACAUUCCAGGUGAUUACCCAAAAGAUUGCGGAGAUAUAAAAGGCCGAAGUGGUGUAUACUCUAUAAAUCCUGCUGGAGAAAACUGCGGUUAUAAAGUGUAUUGUGACAUGGAAACAGAUGGUGGAGGGUGGACG
rnacentral:sRNA from 1 species